rnacentral:rRNA from 1 species
UGAGGAAUAUUGGACAAUGGGCGCAAGCCUGAUCCAGCCAUGCCGCGUGCAGGAUGACGGUCCUAUGGAUUGUAAACUGCUUUUUGUGCAGGAAGAAACAGUUCUACGUGUAGAACCUUGACGGUACUGUAAGAAUAAGGAUCGGCUAACUCCGUGCCAGCAGCCGCGGUAAUACGGAGGAUCCAAGCGUUAUCCGGAAUCAUUGGGUUUAAAGGGUCCGUAGGCGGUUAGAUAAGUCAGUGGUGAAAGCCCAUCGCUCAACGGUGGAACGGCCAUUGAUACUGUCUGACUUGAAUUAUUAGGAAGUAACUAGAAUAUGUAGUGUAGCGGUGAAAUGCUUAGAGAUUACAUGGAAUACCAAUUGCGAAGGCAGGUUACUACUAAUGGAUUGACGCUGAUGGACGAAAGCGUGGGUAGCGAACAGGAUUAGAUACCCCUGUAGUCCCUGAGCGGGCUGGCAAGGCGCAU